rnacentral:lncRNA from 1 species
CACACAAUACAACCCAAAAUUAGGAAAUAGCACACAAUACAACAUUGGUGAAGAUAGAAAUAAAACUUAAAUGCAUGGAAUUAAGUAUGUCACAGGAUGAACAUGAGAUGAAAUGAUUUGCAUGAAAUUAAUGAAUAUUAAAGCAUCAAGGAAUUUAUAAUUAAAAUAGACAUAAGUAAAAAAAACAUGAUAAUGAAUAUAAGUUAAAGGAUUAAUAAGUUAGUGAAUUAGUCAAGCCUCAACGUCCUGCUUUAAAAGGCUAAAAGAAUAACUUAUGCCAAAAGCACUUAUCUCAUAAGCUUGUGAAUAACAAAACAAAAUUAAAAAAGAACAAUUAAUUAAAAUGGUGUAACAUUUUGAUAUGUUAGUGAGUUAGUUCAAGCUUCAAUAUCAUGCUUUACAAGGCUAAAAGAAACAACUUAUGCCAAAAGCACUUAUUUCAUAAGCUUUGAACAAAAAUAAAAUUAAAGAGCCAUUAAUUACAUAAUAUAAUCAAUUGAAUUAAAUU